CCGUGGCGGAAUGCUUACAAUGCAGUCGCACGGUCAGCAAUGGCAGUGGCGGACGGGUGAGUAACGCGUAGGAAUAUGUCCAGAGGUGGGGGACAACCCCGGGAAACUGGGGCUAAUACCGCAUAUGAGCUGAGGCUCAAAGCAGUGAUGCGCCUUUGGAGUAGCCUGCGUCCGAUUAGCUUGUUGGUGGGGUAAUGGCCUACCAAGGCGACGAUCGGUAGCUGGUCUGAGAGGACGACCAGCCACACUGGGACUGAGACACGGCCCAGACUCCUACGGGAGGCAGCAGUGGGGAAUAUUGGACAAUGGGCGCAAGCCUGAUCCAGCAAUUCCGCGUGGGUGAAGAAGGUCUUCGGAUUGUAAAGCCCUUUCGACGGGGACGAUGAUGACGGUACCCGUAGAAGAAGCCCCGGCUAACUUCGUGCCAGCAGCCGCGGUAAC
rnacentral:rRNA from 1 species